rnacentral:rRNA from 1 species
AUUGAACGCUGGCGGCAUGCUUUACACAUGCAAGUCGAACGGUAACAGGCCGCAAGGUGCUGACGAGUGGCGAACGGGUGAGCAAUGCAUCGGAACGUGCCCGGUCGUGGGGGAUAACGCAGCGAAAGCUGCGCUAAUACCGCAUACGAUCUGAGGAUGAAAGCGGGGGACCGUAAGGCCUCGCGCGAUCGGAGCGGCCGAUGUCAGAUUAGGUAGUUGGUGGGGUAAAGGCCCACCAAGCCGACGAUCUGUAGCUGGUCUGAGAGGACGACCAGCCACACUGGGACUGAGACACGGCCCAGACUCCUACGGGAGGCAGCAGUGGGGAAUUUUGGACAAUGGGCGCAAGCCUGAUCCAGCAAUGCCGCGUGCAGGAAGAAGGCCUUCGGGUUGUAAACUGCUUUUGUACGGAGCGAAAAGGCUCUCUCUAAUACGGAGGGCUCAUGACGGUACCGUAAGAAUAAGCACCGGCUAACUACGUGCCAGCCGCCGCAGUAAAAC